GACUGAGUAAGAACAGGACUGAUGGACUGAGUAAGAACAGGACUGAUGGACUGAGUAAGAACAGGACUGAGUAAGAACAGGACUGAUGGACUGAGUAAGAACAGGACUGAUGGACUGAGUAAGAACAGGACUGAUGGACUGAAUAAGAACAGGACUGAUGGACUGAGUAAGAACAGGACUGAGUAAGAACAGGACUGAAUAAGAACAGGACUGAGUAAGAACAGGACUGAGUAAGAACAGGACUGAGUAAGAACAGGACUGAGUAAGAACAGGACUGAGUAAGAACAGGACUGAGUAAGAACAGGACUGAGUAAGAACAGGACUGAGUAAGAACAGGACUGAGUAAGAACAGGACUGAGUAAGAACAGGACUGAUGGACUGAGUAAGAACAGGACUGAGUAAGAACAGGACUGAUGGACUGAGUAAGAACAGGACUGAGUAAGAACAGGACUGAUGGACUGAGUAAGAACAGGACUGAGUAAGAACAGGACUGAUGGACUGAGUAAGAACAGGACUGAUGGACUGAGUAAGAACAGGACUGAGUAAGAACAGGACUGAUGGACUGAGUAAGAACAGGACUGAGUAAGAACAGGACUGAGUAAGAACAGGACUGAUGGACUGAGUAAGAACAGGACUGAUGGACUGAGUAAGAACAGGACUGAGUAAGAACAGGACUGAUGGACUGAGUAAGAACAGGACUGAUGGACUGAGUAAGAACAGGACUGAGUAAGAACAGGACUGAUGGACUGAGUAAGAACAGGACUGAUGGACUAAG